rnacentral:tRNA from 1 species
UGAUAGGAAAAGGACUUUAACCUUUAUCUUCGGGGCUACAACCCACGGCCUGACACUCGGCCACCCUACC